rnacentral:lncRNA from 1 species
GAGUUUACAGGGGAGACCGGAGAGGGUGUACCAGUCGUAAACAUCUUGCUAUUGAAAGGGAAAAGAGAGAGAGUACACCUACGGCCACGAGAGAGGAGAAACACAACAGAUUGGGGAGAGAAAGAGAGGAGAGGAAGAGAGCAGGGAAGUCGUAGCGGAACGACAGAGGGGGAGAAAGAUUAGGGUUUUCUUCUCCGAUUUUGGGGAAAGUAUCCAGGGAAGGUACUUUUCUUGUCGGUUGAAGGGGUGAAAGAGAUAUUUAAGUAUUCUUAGCGCUGCAAUCGUUUGGAGGCCUUUUGGAUUUGCGUAGAACAGGCAGGUUGAUCCUCAUAAGAUUACUGGAUGAUUUUGAAUAGGGUUUUUGAUGCAUUUUAAGGGUUAUGUGAACUUAUGUGUUGUUAUAUUUUCUCCCCUGAAUUUCCUGUGCAGUGUUUUCGUCGAUAGAUUAUUUCCCUCUCUUGGUCAUAUAGUGUCGCUGUAGCUCCUCCUCUACUGAAUAGCUUAAUUAUCAUUAAAACUGAAUCCUUAUAAUAGAUUGGUGGUAUACAGGCGUGAAGGGGGGGAUAAGGGUUACACGAUUGGAUUGAAGUGCAUAUUUGUAAAUUUUGGUGAGUAAGAUGGUUAAGAUCAACGUGUUUAAUUCGUGUGAGUAAAAGGAUAAAUUGCAAACUGUUUUAGAGUCUGAGUGUAAAUUUUGCAAACAGUUUACUUGCUCAUGUACUUUCUGCAUAUAUGUUUAAGGACAAAUUGCAAACUGUUCUUGAUUGUGCCUUUUUCCAUGGCUUUAAUUUUCUACUAGGGAUGUACUUCAAAUUUCUUUGUUCUUUCUUUUAUUUUGCUUUAUCUUUUCCCCUCUUAGUAAUGGUAACAUGUUUAGAAUAUAAAUAAAUUUUUUUUAGCGAUGUUCAACAAGCCUAUUCAGAUGAUGGUUGUCUCCCCUUUCACUUUGUAUUAUUUUUUGAAUUGCAUCUUCUCUACAUUAGAGCAGUGCAUAUUCAGGUGACUGACCCCAGUUCAUAAGGGUCGGUGUUGACUCCAUGUUUUGAGUGACUUUAGGUAGCCUUGCAUUGUCCCCAGUCCAAACCAUGUAAUUGAUUUUCAACGAAAGGACUGCUAUGUGAUGUCCAAGUGGGAGGUCAGUUAAUUUUUAACCGAGAAUUUAACAGACUAGCUUAAUAAAAAAUAUAAUAAAAGGCUGAUAGUGAAUUUUAAAAUUUAAAAGGUCAACAAACAAAAUAGGAAAAGUGAGAAAGGUCAAAUAUCAUAAAUGAAGUUAAACCUAAAAAUAAUUGCACUCUUCAGGUGGCAUUGCUAAGCUAUCUUUGAUUCAUAAAGGGAAUAUGAGAGAUAUAUAUGAAUUUUCUUUUCCUGUAUCGUGAUCAUAGGACUAUGCAGGGUAUGGUGUUUACUUGAGCCUCUUUGAGCUUGAAAUGGAGCACGUUAGGAUCAAGCUGGAGCAUGUUUGAGAUCGAGCUUUAGCUUGUUUGAAUCAAGUGCGAGCUUUAUUAACCUUGGUUUCUUACUGAGUAUGAGCUCUUUAGUUUUUCGUACAAACCGAGCCUCAUCCAAGAGAAAAUCUCUAAUUGAACUUUGUGCCUAAGUCAAGUCUAGCGCAAUUUAAGUAAAAAUUCAGUUAAGAGCCCUAACACUCAGGUAUUCAGAUUAGAUUGGUUCAUUUCCAUCCCUAAUUGGUGGUUUGGAUACGUGUGAGUAUCAUGUGUAGGUUACAAGUUUUGGUUUGUUUAUGAUUCACCUUCAAGUUUUUCAUGCUAUUCUGAUUAAAUUUUUUCAUUUUUCAGAUUUCUGUUUUGCUUGUUACAUUAAGCUUGCNNNNNNNNNNNNNN